rnacentral:SRP_RNA from 1 species
CUGCGAUAGUCGGGGAGUCAGCGGUGCCCUGUUGCCUGCAACCCGCUACAGCAGGGAUGAAUUCCGACUCGCGGAUUUGUGAUGUGUCAUAGCACCUGGUAAGCGGCGUUGACGAAUCGGUCCGACGCAACGGCUGACAGUGAACCAUGUCAGGCGGGGAACCGAGCAGCAUUAAGCGGAAACAGCCGUGUGCCGUCGGGGUUCCGGUUCUGAGUUGGCUGCCGAGUACGCGGACAUAUCGCAACAUUCAGAAGUCGGUUCGCAG